ensembl:lncRNA
CAAUGGCAUAGUCCGGAAUAUAAAUAUAUAUGUAUAUAAUGGUGUGUAUAGACAGUAUAUGAAUAGAACAGUUGUGUACAGCAGUAGUUAUACAAGAUUAACCUUGAAUAGAAUAUUGUAUUUACAUAUGAAGUGGGUAAAACAGUAUGCACACAUUAUUCAAGUAACCAGUGUUCAAUGAUUAUGUACAUAGAGCAGCAGUCUCUAACAGUACUGGGCAGAGGCCGAUUAGUGGUUAGUGGUGACUAUUUAAAAGUCUGAUGGCCUGUAUAUAGAAGCUGUUUUUCAGUUUCUCGGUCCCACCACCUGCACUGUCUCUGCCUUCUAGAUUCUAGAUGGUAGCGGGGUGAACAGGCCGUGGCUCAGGUGGCUGAUGUCCUGGAUGAUCUUCUGUAACAUCUGGCGACAUAGACGUCCUGGAGGGCACGUCUACAUCCAAAAGGAUGGCAGACAUUGGGUGAAUAUUAAAUGUUAAUAUCUUCGGCCGUGAGUGAUGGAGAAAAAAAAUCGGCCACAAUGAAAAUAACUGGGAAAAUUCAAUGGAUAUUUUUGGUACAAAGGUGAUAAUGAAAGUGUCUUUUUAGGAAUUUUAAAAUUGGACUUCUCUAUGGGGCAGUCUAUGGGAAUUGUCCUUUUGGGCUUGGCUUCAGCUAAAAUGCAGUACCGAAAGUGCCCUCUGAGCACAGACCGGAACCCUGCCCCCCUGGACUGAACAUGUCCCACAGGGGGAGGGGCGUGGGGAGGUGGAUAGAAAGGAAGAGAGCUGUUUGGCUCACACUGACGUGCUGCUGGAGGCGCCUGUGUGCACAGCCAUGGAUGGUGUGUUGGAGGGAGCGGCUGUGGUGUGUGUGUGUAAACUGGCCUGCAGUCUUCUCUUCCUGCCCAUGGUCACUGCUUCUCUCAGUGCAGUCAGCUUCUGCUGCAACUGCCUGCUGCUCUUCACAGACCUCGUAGUCACAACUAUCCUGGUUGUCCUCUGGUUUGCAGACCCCUGGCUACCUCAGUUUUCCACGUCAUCUGAUGUCAUUGCCCUGCGCUUCCUGCUCUUCCUCAGCCACACCUACUGGGCGGUGCUGCUGAUGACCACUCCUCUUGUUGCCGUGGAGACUGCCAUGAAGUUGCAGUGGCCCCAGGUCCAUGGUGGCAGAGGUAGAGCAGUGGACGGGGACACAGGCGGACGUAGUAAAACUCCGGGCUCUAAAGCUCCUGCACAUCACCAUGGGGUGACAGUGGAGGUAGAGGACGGGCAGAGCAGGGACACAGACAGCCAGAGAGGAGGGAGAGAGGACCAGGAAAAGUGCCUGCCCCACAUCAUUUACUUCCUCUGCUGUCUGCUGGUGUGGGUUCUCUGUGGUGUCUGUGGGGGUCAGAGCUGGAGACUUUGGGUGAAGGUCUGCAUGGAGAGAACCAGCUCUCUCACUAUGUGCCUUCCCAGCCUCCCCAACAAUGUCCUGUCUGCUCUGGGUGAGCCCUGCUGGGCCCUGGCCACCGUGACCUUGGCCCUCCUGCUGGUGCUGACGGCGGGCUGGGGCCUGCUCAGACGACACCUGGCCCACACAGAGAUGGACACGCACUCAACGACACACAAGGGGGAACAUGGCACUGACAUUGAACUGCCCGCACAAACAUUCGCUGCACCAUGCAUGACUGUAAACCCUGCCACGUCAGCGGUGCCAGACACACAGUCUGUUGACCCAGAGACAACACGGUCCAGAUGCUCCCUUCACAGCCCAUGUUCCGGGAACAACAUACAGCUAUCACUGGCUCACCAUGGAUACUCUGUCCUCUUAUCGUUGGAGUGUUUGUCAGCAGACAUCCUAGAGGAACACAGAGAGACAAAAGGCCUAGGAGACAUGCCUCUCAGCACUACCGUGGAGGAACACACAGGCUCUACCUACAGGAGCCAGUGUGGGAUGGGGCAGUGGGGCUUUCCCUGCCUGGGGGUAAACGUAAUGACAGGGUUUGUGUGUCUGCUUAUUGUCUGUGUGUUACCUCUAAAUCUCAGCGUGAACAUCCUACUGAUCAGGCACAUAGAGACAAUGCUGGAGUGGAGUUUGAAGCUCUUAUUGUUUGUACCCAAAGAAGCCACAGACAACACAGGGCUCUCCCAGUCAAUGUAACACAGGCAUAAAGUCAGUGUACUGGACAAUAAACCCGGAUGGGGGUAGUGUUAGAUAUUAAAGUGUGGCUUGGGAAUGGGAUUGUGUUUGAGGGACUUAUUAGGUAUUGUCCGGGGGUAGGAUCAGACGAAUAUUACAUGUACUGUAGACAGCUGGUCUACCUGUCAAUGAUAAAAAGUAAACAAUUCCCUCUUUGACUGUGACUGUCUAUUCAUGCAUGCCGAGUGAUCUCUGGGAAGCUGCAGAGGAGUGCUGAAAAAGUCAGGUUGAGGCUUGCUUUCCAGAUCUAUAGACAUGCAACCCAA